CGUAGGUAACCUGCCUCUUAGCGGGGGAUAACUAUUGGAAACGAUAGCUAAUACCGCAUAAAAGUCGACAUUGCAUGAUGUUGACUUGAAAGGUGCAAAUGCAUCACUAAGAGAUGGACCUGCGUUGUAUUAGCUAGUUGGUGAGGUAACGGCUCACCAAGGCGACGAUACAUAGCCGACCCGAGAGGGUGAUCGGCCACACUGGGACUGAGACACGGCCCAG
rnacentral:rRNA from 1 species